CCCGGGACCCCACAACUGGAAAAAAAACUUUUGCUUGCUUGUAAAUGACCCCGUUUUUGUACGGAUCAACAGUUAGUUCUUGUUGAGAUGGUCAGUACGACAGAGAGUAACAUUGAUGACUCGCUCAUUGGUGGAAAUGCUUCCGCUGAAGGCCCUGAGGGCGAAGGUGCCAAGCGCAGUAAUCACUGGUGUUGAUAUUGUCAUGAACUAUCAUUUGCAAGAAACCAGCUUCACAAAAGAAGCCGACAACUAAGUACAUCAAAGACUACAUGAAGUCAAUCAAAGGCAAACUUGAAGAACAGAGGUCAGAAAGAGUAAAACCUUUUAUGACAGGGGCUGCAGAACAAAUCAAACACAUCCUUGCUAGUUUCAAAAACUACCAGUUCUUUAUUGGUGAAAACAUGAAUCCAGAUGGCAUGGUUGCUCUACCGGACUACCGUGAGGACGGUGUGACCCCAUAUAUGAUUUUCUUUAAGGAUGGUUUAGAAAUGGAAAAAUGUUAACAAAUUUGGCAAUUACUUUGGAUCUAUCACCUGUCAUCAUAACUGGCUGCUGCUUGUCACCCACACAG